GAAAAUGUGAAAAUUGCCAUGCUAUUUUAUAGAAUUGUCAUCCUCUAGAUAAAAGAAGUUUAUGGUAAGCCCCAAUAAAAAUUUCAUGCCAUAAAAAGAAAAAUGACAUCCUCUCAAUUACAAAACGGCAUCCCCUCAAUAAUAAGAAAGCCACCCUAUUAUUAAUAAAAAUGUCAUGCGCUUAGAAAUGAAAACUUUCAUGCCAUUAAAAAUAAAAAAAGACAUCCUCUCAACAUUAAAAAUGCCACCUAUUAUUAACAAAAAUUUCAUGCGCUUAGCAAUAAAAUUGUCAUGCCAUUAAAAACAAAAUGGCAUCCUCUCAAGAUUAAAAAUGUCAUCCUAUUAUUAAUUAAAAUAACAUGCAUUUAGUGAUAAAACUGACAUUCCAUUGAAAAAUGUCAUCCUCUCAAUAAUAAACGGUCGUCCCUAUUAUUAGUAAAAUGCCAUGUUGUUAAUAAAUAAUAACAAAACUGUCACAUACAAAAACAAUCUUGACUUGUGAUCAUUAGAAAAAUAAUGUUUAAAUUUUCCAUGUGACAUAGUUUCAAAAAACUGGCAUUUUAAAUUCUUUUUGAAAAAAUUCCAUGUAACAUAAUGUUGAUCCCAUGAAGACCAAGGUCGCCUGGACCCGUCGAGCGAGGGCCUCGACAACCUUGCUUUACGGGAUGGCGCCAAGACAUCUAUCUGCAAAACAAACAAACAUGCCUUCUCGAGGUGGCUUGCAAAUCUACAUCAAGAUCCAAGGAAGAAGAAACCUACCUCACAGUGGGGAGCAAGCACCUCGCCGCGGACACGCAGCUUGAGAAUGGUCGCACGCUUGCUGACUACCACAUCCAGAAGGAGUCCACACCUUCACAGUUGCUUCCCGACAACACGG
rnacentral:lncRNA from 1 species